rnacentral:rRNA from 1 species
AGCAAAUCCCAGAAAUAACGUCCCAGUUCGGAUUGUAGUCUGNAACCCGACUACAUGAAGCUGGAAUCGCUAGUAAUCGCGGAUCAGAAUGCCGCGGUGAAUACGUUCCCGGGUCUUGUACACACCGCCCGUCACACCAUGGGAGUCGGAAAUGCCCGAAGUCAGUGACCUAACCGAAAGGAAGGAGCUGCCGAAGGUGGAGCCGGUAACUGGGGUGAAGUCGUAACAAGGUACC